rnacentral:rRNA from 3 species
AACGAACGCUGGCGGCAGGCUUAACACAUGCAAGUCGAGCGCCCCGCAAGGGGAGCGGCAGACGGGUGAGUAACGCGUGGGAAUCUACCCAUCUCUACGGAAUAACGCAUGGAAACGUGUGCUAAUACCGUAUACGUCCUUCGGGAGAAAGAUUUAUCGGAGAUGGAUGAGCCCGCGUUGGAUUAGCUAGUUGGUGGGGUAAAGGCCUACCAAGGCGACGAUCCAUAGCUGGUCUGAGAGGAUGAUCAGCCACACUGGGACUGAGACACGGCCCAGACUCCUACGGGAGGCAGCAGUGGGGAAUAUUGGACAAUGGGCGCAAGCCUGAUCCAGCCAUGCCGCGUGAGUGAUGAAGGCCCUAGGGUUGUAAAGCUCUUUCACCGGUGAAGAUAAUGACGGUAACCGGAGAAGAAGCCACGGCUAACUACGUGCCAGCCGCCGCGGUAA